UGAAGAGCCUGAGGAUUGUGCUAUUUAAGUGCGACACAAAACAAAAAACAAUGCCAGUGAUUUUGGCCACUGCAAUCAGACCACCUAUUGCAAUCCCUAACAGUAUUACGCUACAAUCUGAAAGAUUUCAUAGUUUCAACAAUUUUUUUCACUUUCACAGAGAACUGUAUUUUCGAGGGAACGCUAUUUCCCGAAAAUUUGCUUUGUGGCCUAACAGAACCCUGAAUCCAAAAACCAUGAUAGAUUCGAUGAGAACCCAUGUGAGUACAAGGGAAAAUGGGGUUCAAUCUUUUGAACAGGAAGCUUUCAUUGAAGGGCCCUCUGAUUCUGGAGCUGUUGGGCUCGAAGGGACUCUCAAUAGUUUGGUAAAUUGUCUAUUUGCAAUGAAAGUUUUAAUACGUUUAAUAUCUGUAUAUAGUAUGUUUAAUUUAGUAGGUUGUUAAUUUUAUUUCUGUAUCUGACUUGCGUGGUUAUAUGCUAUAAAAAUUCAUAUUUAAACUUCGAUCGAAAAGUGACUUGUGGUAUGGAUUCUCUUGUGAAAUAUUCCUCAGGGGUGGGGCGGGUGUGGGGGGUUCCUGGUUUCCCAUCCUACCAAUUGAACUUUAUGUGAGAUGGAGAUGAUGUCUGUAAUUUGGAAAGGAGAACGAGUUGAUAGUCAUUCCUAUAGUCAAGAUUUCGUUUCAAUCGAUUUCAAUUUUAGAACUUGAUAUCUCUAAAAAAAAUGUUUAAUCUGCUGAGUUUUAUAAUCUACUAUGGAAAAACUAAACUUGUUUGGUCUUCAUGAGUCUGUUUAGUUGCUCAAUUUUAGAUAACGGGGAAGGAAGGGAAGGAUUUGAAAAAUGCUAGAAAUUCUCUCAAUGUGAAUAACUUUAUUCGGAAAUUUAUGCAUCAUUUUGUGACAUUUUAUUUAAUUAUUACUUUGAAAAAUCAUGGUCUGAGUUGCUCGUCCAGAAUAGAGGAAUAUUUUUGAUAUUGGGAAACAAACAAUGGAAAAUGCACAUUUGGAUGGUCAGUUUUUAGUAAGUCUAUUUUUUUUCACUCAAUAUGUUACUUUUUGUAAGCUGAGUCUUAUAUGGUGCUUUAAAAUCCAAGAUCAAGGGGAGGAGUGGCUAAACAUUCACUUUCUCCCAAAAUGACAUGGGAGGCAAAUCACAAAACUUCAAAAAUCUAGAUCCACCACCCGACAUACCACCUUUACCCGGUGGAUUUCAACCCCAAACAACCAAAAAUCAUCCAGUACUCCAAGCCACAAUGGUUUUGGAAGCAAUAGAAUCAGAUUUAUAUGAAAACAUUGAAGGUACGAAUCCCAAUGUUUUCAAAACUCCACUCUACGCAUUGAAUCAGGGUCUGGGACCAUCACCAAUGAUUCCAGAAGGGUCGAAAACCCUAAACCCCAAACCCUAACCCUAAACCAAAACCAAAUCCUAAACAGCACUUUCUCUCUCUAACGCAAAAUGCUCUCCCUUCUCUCUAAAAUGGGAGACAAAUCACAAUUCUUCAAAAAUCUUGAUCCACCACCCGACAUACAACCUUUACCCGGUGGAUUUCAACCCCAAAAAACCCAAAAUCUUCCAGCACCUCAAGCUACAAUGGUUUUGGAAGCAAUAGAAUCAGAUUUAUAUGAAAAUGUUGAUGGCACAAAUCCCAAUGUUGUCAAAACUCCACUCUACGCAUUGAAUCAGGGUUUGCGACCAUCACCAAUGGUUCCAAAAGGGUCGAAAUCCCUAAACCCUAAACCAUAAACCCCAAACACCAAACCCUGAACCCUAAACCAAACCCUAAACCACACUUUCUCUCUCUAGCCCAAAACACUCUCCCUUCUCUCUAGAAUGCGAGACAAAUCGCAAACCUUCAAAAAUCUUGAUCCACCACCCGACAACCACCUUUACCCAGUGGAUUUCAACCCCGAACAACCUAAAAUCUUCCAGUACUUCAAGCUACAGUGGUUUCGGAAGCAAUAGAAUCAGAUUUAUAUGAAAAUGUUGUUGGCACGAAUCCCAAUGUUGUCAAAACUCCACUUUCCGCAUUGAAUCAGGGUCUGGGACCAUCACCAAUGAUUCCAGAAGGGUCCAAAUCCGUAAACCCCAAACCCUAAACCGCACUUUCUCUCUCUAUCCCAGAACGCUCUCCCUUCUCUCUAAAAUGGGAGACAAAUCACAGGCCUUCAAAAAUCUUGAUCCACCACCCGACGAAACACCUUUACCCGAUGGAUUUCAACCCCAAAAAAUCCAAAAUCUUCCAGCACAUCAAGCUACAGUGGUUUUGGAAGCAAUCGAAUUAAAAUUUAUAUGAAAUUGUUGAUGGCACGAAUCCCAAUGUUGUCAAAACUCCACUCUACGCAUUGAAUCAGGGUCUGGAUCCAUCACUAAUGAUUCCAGAAGGGCCGAAAUCCCUAAACCCCAAACCCUAAAACAAAACCAAACCCUAAACCGCACUUUCUUUCUCUAGCCCAAAACGCUCUCCCUUCUCUCUAAAAUGGGAGACAAAUCACAAACCUUCAAAAAUCUUGAUCCACCACCCAACACACCACCUUUACCCGAUGGAUUUAAACCCCAAACAGCCAAAAAUCAUCCAGUACUCCACGCCACAAUGGUUUUGGAAGCAAUAGAAUCAGAUUUAUAUGAAAAUGUUGAUGGUACAAAUCCCAAUUUUUUCGAAACUCCACUCUAGGCAUUGAAUCGGGGUCUGGGACCAUCACCAAUGAUUCCAAAAGGGCCAAAAACCCUAAACCCCAAAGCCCAAACCCUAAACCAAAACCACUCCCGUUUUAUGGUUCUAUUCAUGGAAAGUUUUUGUACUAAAGGCAUUUAUAUCCUAUCUGUGGGUUAGAAUUAUUGUUGUUCUGGGUGCUAUCGGAUUUGCUGUAGGAUUUAUUCGACAUGUUUACCUGACCUGGCUUCGAGAUGAAAACUGAAUUUAUAUUCUCAGAAAGUAUUAUGGCAACAAUCGUUCUCUUUUGUCCUGCAGAAUUCCGUUUAAUCUGGAUGAUAUUUGACCAUUGAAAUUCAUGACCAUUGUGUUCUUAUUUGUAAUCAUUGUUGAACCCCACUUGACAUGCACAAGAUGGAAUGUGAAUUCUUCGAGAUCCUUCCAUUCUUCAAACAGAAAAUGACAAAUAGAUUCAAACUGAUUCUAGAAUGUCUUUUUGAAUAUUGAAUAAAGCUGCAGAACCAAAGGUUCCAAUCCUGCCACCUCAGCCCCUGAUUUUGAAUGGGGCGGGCCCCAUGAAUUAAAGAUCAAGGGUCGAGGAAAUUGCCGCCUCGUAGGGAUGGCAAUCGGGCUCGCUGGCUCGGGCUGCCCGUGGCUCGGCUCGAGGCUCGGUAGCCCGAGCCUAGGUUCGGGCCAAGCCCCAUUUCGGGGACACGGGCUUUGCCCGAGCCGGCCCGUGAGUUCGCGAGCUUUUUAAUAAAAGAAAAAAAAAAUUAAAUUGAAGCCUUAAAAGGCAACAAAUCUGCUGCCUUAAAAGGCAGCAGAUUAGAAGAAGAACCCACAAAAAACAAAAAAAAAGGUGGAGAAAACGAGCCUGCCCGGCUCGGCCCGUUAAAAGUCCGAUCAAAAGCUCGGGCCGAGCCUAUUUUUUUGGCCGAGCUUUUUGCGGGCUCGAGGCCAAGCCCGAGCCGAAACUUUAGGCUCGCGAGCCCACUCGACCCGGCUCGUUUACAUCCCUAUCGCCUCGGGCCUAGAGCCAAUCCGGGGUUUUAAACCUGGGAUCUAAAGCAUCUCUCUUGAAUAUUUCAUGAUGUCUUGACUAUUCAAAUCAAGACAAUUUUUGAGUAAUCAAUGACUUUUCGAUGGAGAAUGGUCAAUAAUAGUUUCAAUUUAAUGAAUAAGGGAUCCAGGCUUUAAAAAUAGUGUUUUGUAUGAGCAGGGAAAAUCAAAUAAAUAUAAUCAUAUUAUCUGGAACUCAAAAAAAUAAAAAAUAAAAAAUAAAGAAUAAAGAAAUAGUCAAGAUUCAAUAACUUUACCCGAAAAUCAUUACUGUUUUAUGAUGACAACAAUCGUAAUAAAAUCUUGAAUAAUGCUACUUGUAUAUUAUGAAGUUAUGUAAUAAUUUACGUAUAGAUGAUGUUUAAAAAGAAAUUGGAAAAGAAUUUUAUUAUUAUUAUCAUUAUUUUCUUCAUUUGGUUGAAAAAAUUCUUAUCCAAUCAUAUCUCAUUAUAUCAUGUGUAUGUAAACCAUUAUGUACGUAUAGCAUAAUCGUAAAAUCUUUGUUUACUUAAUCUAUUACAAAAUCUUUGUCUUCUCUGGUUAUGUCACGAUCGACCUGUCUUUGCACACUUCUUUGCAACCGUGCACCUCUGGGAAAUAAAAAAAAACACUAGGAUAAGAGUCUUUGCACGCUUCUUUUUUCCCCCAGAAUUUGGUAAGCCUUCAAUAAGGAGAUCCAAUAACAACUAGGAAUUAAGACACUGCAAACGAGCUUUUAUCUAACAGAUUCUCUGCAUCAUUAGCAGUAAGGUCUUUCUAAUGUAGGUUCAGUCUUCCAAAUUCCAAAGGUCUGAUCAGAUGUAAACAUCCAAACAUUUCACAGUAGUUCCGUAAGGGAAGCACCACUAUGGGUAAAACUUACCAAAGAACAAACUCAACAUGUGCAUCUGUUCGCUUGCAGAGCACGAAUAAGUACAAAAACCAUUUUAAGAAUAAUGGCUUCAUCCUCAAUCUAACAGUACUUUAUGAGUGAUGCGGAUCCAAAUUGGUUGAGCAGCAUAAAAACAAGACAUUUGCUCCACAACAGUGUAUCCUCUUUCAAGGAAAAUGUCUUCAUGCUUUGUCAUGCCUUAUUGCCGCUUUACUAAAAACACCAGCAAACGAUGCAUCCAUUUGACAUUGUUGAAAAAAUGACUUAAAUCUCCUUCCAUUUGUUUACUUGAUAUCGGCGAGCCAUAUCAUCUCGAAGCAACAUUUCCAAUCAAUUUCGAUAAUCAUCCCUGAUGAUGAAGUUAACCUAAAACCAACUUUGUUGACAGUGUAUAUUGCAGUUUUCAAGUCUAAAUAUGACACCGAAUCUUCCUUCCUAUAUCACUGUGCGACUCUCCCAUGCUAGUCCAAAAGGAAAAGAGUUGCCAUGUAUGCAACAGUUUUCAUGAUGAAAGAUGCUGGUGUUAAUCUCCUGCAUCAUACAGGAAUAACGCAACUUCCUGUACAGCAAGAUCUGCUCUAAAGGCUACCAACUUCAAAAUAUUGUAUAUUUCUUCGCACUCUGGAUGCAAUCCAUCACCAGCAACGAACGCAGAAAUCUGAUUUUUGACCUUAAUCCAAGACCAACCAGGUUCUUUCAUAACACCUUUUGAUUUCAUGAGUUUCCUCAUGUCUGCUGCUUCCCUCCACUUCCCUCUUGAAGAAUAUAUAUUAGCCAAGGUUAUAUGAGUCCCAGCACAAUUUGGAUCCAAUUUAAGUAUCUGCUCUGCGGCACGCUUUCCACAUUCUACAUCUCCAUGUACUCUACUGGCUCUUAACAGAGUUGACCAUACGACAUCGUCCCGUUCAUACGGCAUGCUUCUUAUCAUUUUUUCUGCUUUGCGCAACUGUCCAGCUCUACAUAGAAGAUCAAUCAUGCAACCAUAAUGUUCUUUAGUAGGAUUUAUCUUGUACUCACUAGUCAUUGAAUCAAAAUACUGAAAGCCGAGAUCAACAAUUCCAACAUGACUACAAGCACUAAGGACACCAAUAAAUGUUACAGAGUCUGGCCUCAAACCAACCACGGGAAUUUUCUCAAAUAGAUCAAUUGCUUCUUGGCUGUAUCCAUGUUCAGCAUAUCCAUUGAUCAUGGCCGUCCAUGAUACAAUAUCAUCAUUCUCUGCUACCUUAAAUAUUUUAGAUGCCUCUCCUAUGCUCCCACAUUUUGAAUACAUGUUGAUCAGAGCACUUCGUGUCAUAGCUCUUUGAUCUAAACCAAUUGUAAGGACAUAAGCAUGAAGUUGCUUACCCUGAUCAAGAAUUGCCAUACUACCACAUACACUCAACCCACUAGAAAGAGCAAACUCUGUGGGGUUUGGUCCUUCUCUCCUCAUCCAUGAUAGAAGCUCAAAAGCCUUCUCUGUAAAACCUCCUUGAGCAUACCCGGCAAUAAUAGUACUCCAAGAAAUGAUGUCUCGCCUGGACAUUUCAGUGAAGACUAUUGAGGCCGACUCACAGUAUCCACAUUUUGAAUACAUUGUCAUGACAGAAUUUGCCACAGAUAAUGAGUCCAUGAGACCUAUAUGUAAAACAUGCGCAUGCAUUUGUUUUCCCCAAUCAAGUCUUGCAACAUUGGCAACACCAGAAAUCACAGCUGCAUAAGUAUACUCAUUAGGACAUACGUUCGACUCUCUCAUCUGCAGAAACGCAUCAAUUCCCUCCUUCUCUUGGCCCAUCUGGAUGUACGAUGUAAUUAUAGUUGUCCAUGAAACCACAUCCUGCUUAUUCAUUCUUUGAAAUAAGAACAAACCGCAUUGCGCUCUCUCACACUUAUUGUACAUGGUAGCAAGACUAUUGGCCACAUAUGAGGUCACAUCUACUCCAUUCUUCAUGGCUCGAGCAUGAAUUUCCUUCCCAGACUUCAAAUAUCUCAUAUCAGCGCAUGCCUUCAAUGCAAUGGCUAAAGUAUAGGAAUCAUAUUCAACACCGUCUCUCCACAUUUCAGCAAAAUAGAUCAAUCCCUCCUUGUUAUAACCGGCAUGAACAAGCCCCGUAAUAAUGGCAGUCCAUGAAACUACAUUCCUCAACGGCAUCUCAUCAAAGAUUCUACAACCCUCCCAAACACUCCCGUUCUUCAUAUACAUGUCAAGAAUUGCACUCCCCACAAAAACAGAGUUUACUAAACCAGUUUUCACUGAAAACACAUGUAACAUUUCCCCAUAUUUCAGAUUCAUAUUCAGCCCACAAGCCUUGAACGCAAGGCUAAGUAUGAAGGGGUCCAUUUUGAGACGCUGGUCGACCCACAUUUUGGAAAACAAAGACAAUGCUUCAGACGAAUCAGACGCAUUCACAUAGCCCGAAAUCAUGGUUGUCCAUGAAAUUUCAUUUUUGUGAGGAAUUUCAUCGAACAAUUUCCGUGCACGGUUCAAGUUUCCAGUUUUCAGCAUGCCCUUCAGCUGAGAAUUGAUUUCUACCAUUUCGAUUUGAAUGGCAUCAUGGGAUUUCUGUGUCAAGUGAUUUCGAAGUUCUUCCUGAGAUAAAACGUCCCAGGUUUCGGCACACGCAACGGCAUAUGUUGCAUAAAAUCUUCUAAUAAUAUUACCCCUGACUGACAUCAUCAUAUUUGAGAAUCACCAGAUCAACAAGACAAGUUUUAGCAGUGUUUAACGAUGAGGCCUAGUGCAACAACCCAACAUUUUUUUUAUGCUGGAUGGUGACUCCAAAAUAACUAUAAUAAGAUGUUGAAAGUUCAUAAGAAUAGUUGUCAUGGACCAAUCCAAUUUCUCAAGUAAAAAACUUUCAUAAAAUAAAACAAAGGAAAAAAAGGGUAUAGUUGAGUAUUAAAAUUUUCAAUUAUCAAGAAAUUGGUGCAUCAUUUAAAUAUUGCUAGGAAAAUCCAAUAACACAAAACAUUGACGAAGGAAUGAGAGUACAACUACUCUUUCUGAUGUUAAUCAAUACAAAUCUUUAAGUUGAUCCAUUUCAAUAUCAAGUACCAAUUUUCUUGAUACAGAUAUCGACGAUGCUUUUGUGAAUAAUUCAUUUAUAUUAUCACUAGAAUAAAAAAAUCUCAUAUCAAUAGUAUCUUUUAGGUAACAAAGAACAAAAGUGAAAUCCUUUAUCCUAGAAGCUGGGCGCAUGAUACCCGUAAGUCCUCUUUCAAUUUUAGGAUAAGCACGAACCAUGCAUCUUCCCAUUCAAAACUAUUUUCGACAAUGAAUCAUAAUAGUGAGUCAAUGGGCUAUUUUGUAGAUCCUUCGGAAACUUUGGUAGAUUGCAAAUGCUAGGCCCUGUUUGAGCCCCAAUAAUUUGAAGAAAAUGUAUUAUGGAAUAGUUAUUGAUGAAAAUGUGUGGUUAAAAAAACGUAAAAGUUUUUUAUUUGGGUGUAAUAUUAUUUUAAUGAAAAAUGUGUGGUUAAAAAUGAGUACAAUAGAAAAAUAAUGAGAGAAAAUAUAAAAUAAAGGAUGACAAACAGGGGCUUAAUAUAUAUAUGGAUAAUGCGUUUAACAUUAUUUUAAAUUUUUGAGUUGGUGUAGAAUUAUAUCUAGCAAAUAAAUUUACAAGAAAAUAUAUAUCUGGUCAAGUGCAAUUUGAAAGUUAGUUAAUGCUCCAUUUACAUUUACAUAAUAAUGAUUGAACGACCGUAGGAGAUGAUACCCAAUAUGUUUUAUACAUAAAGAUAUUUUAAAACUUUUGUGUAUAUAAAAUUGGUGAAUAAAAAAAUCAUUCUUAAAAAUGUUUAAUUUGCGACUCAAGACAGAAUUUGGUUUUUCCCAAAUCUUUAAUCUCAAAUUCAAUUUUUAAGUAAUAUGAAUUUCCCAAAUAUUCAAAAAAAUUAACACAAUUGCAAAUUCAUUAUUUUUUUUUUUUAUGAAGAUAAAUAGGCAAAUGUCAUCAUUUUUAUCACCUCUUGCACCAAAUAUUCGCUAAAUGACCAACAAUUGCUAUUCAUUUUAUAUUACAAAAGUGUACGGAUCGUGAUGAGUAAUAGAAAAAAUCUAAGAGUUCGUAUUAACGUUCCCACUAGUACUACUAUUCAACAGUUAGUUCAGACUACUCAUAUUGAGUGAAAACGAAUAAAGAUAAUUUUUUUUCUAUCGUAAAUAUUAUAAGUCUCCGGAAAAAAAAUUAAAAAUGUGUUUCUAUAUGAUUGUUUAAGUGUUAGAAUUCACGAGUACACUAUAGUUAUCCUCUUAAUUUUAAUCAUCGAUUUUACAACAACUAAUUGUGUGUAACUGAUCGAAUCCUUCUAUUUAAUUGAUUUACCUCUUUUGAGUUCACACCAAUAACCCGAAUCACCCUAGUGGAUAAAAAACGUAACGUGCACCGAUGAUAGAUGCUGACUAGAUGUCAAAUCUAUUACCUAGGCUGACUAUGAGUUAUUUCAAAAAAAAUGUAUCAAAAUCAAAUGUUUAUGUAAAAUAUAAUGCGAUGAGCCCAAAUUAUUACUUCAUGCUUCAUCAAUAUGAGUUAUAACACUCAACAUGUCUUGUGGUUCUCAUUCCGAAAUCAUUAAGCUCUUUCAGCUAAAAAAAAAAUCAAUUGUUACCUAUAGGAAAAAUUAUGGAAAAAUAUAUGAGCUCAUAGCUCAGUGAGUGGAGAAGUUCGAAAAUAUUUAUACUUUUUCAAUUUGACAUUUUUAUAAAAAUCGAGUUCAUAUAAUUGAUUAACUUGCAAGACAAUAUUAUAUAAUUAUAGACAAAACGAGCGACAUUCAUAUACGUUUCAAAUAUCAUCUCAAAAUCAAACUAUAAAUAUCAACUGAUAACAAUACUAUAAUCUCAUCACAUCAAAUGUACUGAAAAAUCUACCAAAAAUGUACCAUCUGACUAAAACCUAUAAUUCGUCCCUCGGUUAAGAACUUUCGUCACGGGCCUUUGGCCUCCUUGGUGAACGAAAGUCGAACUCAAGACCUCUGAUAAUUAAUUGUAGAACACGAUCAAGGCCUCUCAGUGAACUAUAAGUAUAUGGUCAAGACUCCUUUAUCCCCGGUCCAAGACCCCUCAGUAUAGUAUAGAAUACGACCAAGGCCCUUUAGUGAACUAGAAAUAAUAUGUAAUCAUGGGUACUUUUCUGGUCGUUUUCAAUAUCACACAUCUCACAUACCAAAUCACAAACGUACCAUAAGUAAUCCUUGAAAUUCCACAUGGAUCAUAACAAAAGAAAGUUUCAUCGUAAUCACAUAAUGGAGCAAAUAAUUUACAUAAUUGUACAUACUUUGAUAAUAUACUUAAUUUAUAAAUACUUUAAAAAUAUUUAUAUUUUUCUACUCACAUAAUUAACUUGGUUGGUAAGCUGUCCCGAUAUCCGUAUCGCCAUCUAAAAUAUGAUAUAAUUUUUAAAUCAACAAUUAAUUAUUUUAAGUAAUUUCAAUAAUUAAUAGGCGAUACCAAAACUUAAUCAUUUCACGUUUAAGCAAUUUUUAAAGUCUCAUCAAUCACUAAAACUAAAUUUUAUUUCAUUUAACUCAAUUUCAUAACUUAUUAUACUCAACCCCUUCAAUAAAAUUGAAUUUAAUUUAAUAAUCUUACAAUUAUAAAAUCAAACAUAACUUGACAAUAAAUAACUUUUUAAUUACUUUUCAAAAUUGAGAAAUUCAAACCUAAUAGUGUAGACCACUUAUUUUCUAACAACUUAACAAAAUUUUUCUAAAUUUUUUUUUCUGUGUUCUCGUUCUCAUGUUUUGGUGGCGUAUGAUAAAAAAUGAGAGGAAUGGGAAAUGAUUUAUUGUUAUAUUCAAAGCCUCCACAUUCUUUCACUUCACUUUUUUUUUUUAAUUCUUUAUUUCAUUUCUAUUCAUUUAUUUUGUUAUUUAUUUAUUUAUUGCUUGAUAAAUUUGACAACUUUUAGACUUUGACUUACACUUACUAAAUGAAUUGGGAUAUUACACUUUAUAUGAAUUCGAAUAAGUCUUAAUAAAGAGAAUUCAAUCAUCAAAAACUUUCUGUAAUAACUGUGACACUUAUAAAAGCGUAUCUCUACUCUUUGUUCCAAAUUGCAAAUUUUUACUACGUGACAUAAACAAAUAACUUGCAUCUCGACGUAAUAAUUGUUCGCAAAUCAAUGAAUUAGUGGCAAAUUAAUUCAAAGCAUUAAGAAUGGAAGUAAAAAUAAUUCACAACUUAAAUUGGAGAUAUAAUUUUUUGAAAUUAAAAUUAAGGUUCGAAGUAGGUAACAAUCGUUCAUCCUAACUAAGUGCUUAAUUAUAUAUCUUGGAAAAAGAAAAAUACAAGGGAGAAUUAAAGUAAAUCAUUGGGUUAUAAGGAAAAAGACGAAGAUCUUGAACUAAUAAUUCACUUUUUUCUUUUAAAAUCCUUGAAAACCUUAACUUCAUAUUAGUUUUUUAUUUUUAUUUUUAAUCUCCUUUAGGAGCUCUCUUUUCUUGUAAUUAAUAUGAUUUUUUUGCGUCCCAAAAUGUCCCUUUAUUAUGUGAAAUAUAUGUAUAAUGGAUUCUCGUAAACCUCGACUUGAAUAUAUGUGUAUAAUGAAAUCUCACAAGCCUCUACAAGCCCCUUCAAUUGUUGGACUAAAGCAUGUAUUUGGCUUUUAAAAAACACUAAACAAACGAUAUCAGUACGUUUAGGAGAUCAAAAUAAGUAUUCUGCCUGAAGAAGGCUCGCGUGGAAAGUUGCUGCACACACCACCAUCGUCACGCGCCUCUGUUCCUCCAACCGAGGUCUCGUUUGGCCGAAAUUUGGAAUUUUCAGAUAUGGUUCAAAAGGAAAAUCGCGUCUCCUUCGUGAUUUUGGCAGGUUUUUCAACCUCCAAACUCUGAUACCAGAUGUAGAUGAGAAAGACCACAGCCACCAAGGUAAUACCGAGCUUAGUUCACCACCAAGAUCAACACCACAAUUCAAACAAGACCAAACACCUCCAACCAGAUUUCUUUCCUUUUCAUGGUUGCUAGUCAAUGCCCACAAAGAGACUACAAAGGAUAGUAAAAAUCUCACAAAGAUCAACCCCAAAGAUAGUAAAUCGAGAAUGAAUCGAGAGAUGGAUAAGAAGAAAGAAGGCAGUGAAGUCACGCACUCUAGGCAGCAAAGGAGAGACUGUCCAUUUAACCAAAGGGGCUGGCAAAAUAAGGUAAGUUAGGUUAGGUUAGGUUAAGGUAGUAGUUCAAGUGGCCAAACACAAAAGAAUAGUGGGCCAAUAAAAUGGGUCUCAUUGCUAAGCAAUCCAAGUGAAUGGGUUGGGCCACGAGCAACUCUACUAAACUAGGUCGCUUUGACUGGUCCAUUUCAAAUUGGAAUUUGGUCGUUCAUUUUGUAGUGUCAAUAUAUCGUUCAAUCAUUGCAUAAGUCGACUGAAAUUAUAACUGAGUUAACAUCACAGCUCGAGGAGGUCAUUUGACAACAAUUUACCAAACAAUUGUAGAUUAUGAUUUUAUGAUCAGAUGUUGUAGUUGAGACGCUGUGAUUAAUUGCAAACAUUGGGAUCAAAACCAUCCAAAAAUUCUUGAAACCAAAAGAUAAUUUUUCUCAAACGCAAAGUGUUCGAUAAAAUUAUCCAUUGAAUGUCCUUUUAACCAUUAGGCCCCAAACUCGCACAACAGACACAUGCCGCUGUUUGAGCCACAUUAUUUCUCAUUACAUUAAAUUAAAUUUUUGUCUCUCUUACUUUUAACAACACAAUCUUCAAUAAAAUAAUAUUACACUUAAAUCAAAAACUUUUCAACCAUUUAUUUUUCAAAAAAAAUACUAUUCAUCUCAUUAUAAUCUACAAAUAAUGGGGCUCAAACGGAGGCUUAUUGAUACAUUAAUUUUCGUGCAAAAAUAUUUGCAUGAUGAUCUAUAUUGGGGCUCUUUAGAGACGAAUGUGGCAUGGGAAAUGCAAAGGGCUCCAUCCCGUACUACGUCCAAUAUUCCAUCCUUUACUUUGUUUCUGGACUUUUGUACUCAAGUUGAGGGCAUGCAUUUAUUAAACAUUGAACCCCAACUUUGAGGACUCCCACCAGCCCGCUCCUUGAGGGCAUGCAUUUAUUGUUUUUUAAAGUGGUUGUUGACAUUGAAACAUAAGACCCCUUUGGUGGUGGAGAAGGAAAAAAGGAAAUUGACUGCCAAUUCUUCUGUCCCCCAUCCCUGAGUGUAGAAAGGGAGCAUUCGGCAAUUCCUUAACCCGAAUAACCAUGACCAUUGAAAAUGCAUGGUCAACCAAUGGAAGCUCUGGCCCAAAAAGGUGGGUAAUUUUGGAAGAUUUUUUGGAUUUUACGAUGACACGUCACACUUGAUAGGGGCACGAGUUGGGAGAAAGAGGUUGAAGCAUGUCACCUGGUAUAUCUGCCAUUGGUGAAGGAUUUUCUAGCAAACUUCAACACCAAACUCAACGAAGCCAGACCAUCUCAUUUGCAUCAAAUAUGGGUGAUAAGUGGAUCACAUUCAGCACUAGGUGAUUGACAGAAGUAAAGGGUUGAAUCAAGAUGACAUUGUACAAUUACCGGUCGAGCAUAAUAUGGAGUUUUUGACUCAAUACUUGUAUGGUUGAGACUAGCCAUUUCCACAAUGAGUCCAGUGUUGCCAUUUUAGCCUCCGCCAACAUUAGAUUGAUAUCCGGGAAGCUUAGUUUCCUCUAUUUCAUUUAUUUUCUACAUUUUGGACUGUAUAAUACUACAUUGAGGAAAAUUUAGAAAUUAAAUGUUGGAGUGGAAAUUACUUGGUCUCCUUGUAAAUUAAUCUAUAUUUUGCAUGAUAGAGUCUACUUUAUUAUAUUGCUUAUGUUUAAGCCCUUAUUUGUUGGGGAUUAAAAUCACAUUUUCAGUAAGUUUUUAUUAAAUUUGAUGAUAUGUGUGGUUGAAAAGUUGUCGAUCCUAUAAAAUAUGUGGUUAAAAUUAGUUGGUAACUUUGACCUAGAUUUUAAUCCCUACCAAAGAGGGGAUAAAUGUGAUAUUGUAUUGAAAUACUUCGAAUUUGGUAUUGUUUGGGAAAAUGUACUUCAGUAAGUGCAUAACUUGAUUCAAGUAGCAUCAGUAGUUUUGAGAAUGAUUAACACACACAUUCAAAAGUUGAGAAUACGAUAUGUGGAGAUUGGAAACCAACUUUUCAUUCUUAUGUUUCGUUAACUUGUUUGAAUUUUGACAUUUAGAUAUUCACGUUGAGAAAACAUUGAAUAACAUAUGUUGAGUGGAGUAGUAUAUGUAUUUAGUUGAGUUUCUAUUUUAGUUUAUUUGAGAAUAUAUAAAUGUUCAAGUUUGGAAGUAUUUGCGCCACUAAAAGGGGGCAUAUAUAGUUCUUUCGAGAGUUAACUAUCUAAUUUUUUGUGUUUAUGAUUAAUUUAGGAUAAAACCCGAUUUUCAACGUGAAAGAAUGAAAAUGGGUGAGUUUCGAUAAAAAAAAAAAAAAAGGAUUGAAGAUUGACAAAAUCUGGAUUUUGGGGACAAUGUAUUAAUUUUGGAAGUUGAAGGACUUAUAUUAUUGAAGGACUAAGGCAGAACAAGAAAAUGAAUUGGAGGACUAAAUUGCACAAACCUGCUAAGUCAUUUGAACAUUACUGUAAUCUAGUACGAUCACAAAGCACUAAGUUUGAAUUCUAGCAGGCAAUAUGAUAGAAGCCUGUGCGAUCGCAGCCCUCAAAAGGGUGCGAUCUCAUUAUUUCGAGGAGAAAAAAAAAUUAUAGUUUUCUAGUUUGACUCACACUCUGGUUUUCAGCUUUAUAGGAUUGAUUUACAACCGUAUCGAAAGACUUCAAAUAUGUUUAGCCAUUCUUUUCAUACAGAGACACAUUCUUGAGAGAAAUUACAUAGAUUCAUAUGUAUAUUCUCAAGAUUUUUGUAUAGGAUUUUAACAUUUGAUUACAAAAUUUCAUCAAUUUGUCGGAAGAUCUACAAUCAGCAAAAGGAGUUGAAGAAAUUUGUAUGGAUUAAUAUAGCAAUGAACAAUAAUAGAUCUUAUCUUCAUUCGUUGUAAUUGUAUCCAAUGAUAUUUUUAACCAUAAAUUUAUUUAGUUUUGCAAUUAUGAGUGACUAAUUUCUUAAUUGUUAGGAUAAAAAAAUGUAGCUUAGGUUUAAAUGUUAAUUUAAUUCGAAAGAAUUUAUGUAAACUUGAUUAUGUGUUAAUACCUUAUUUGGUAGUUAAUUACAUUAAAUUGCUUGAUCAUUAAUCGAUUGACUUAUGGACAAUAUUGAGACCAAACGGCGAUGUAUUAGCCUAGCUUGUGGAAUAAGUGAUAUGGGUAUGUUAUAGGUUAUGCAAUCUUUAUUGAAUUCCUACGAAUUAAUGCAUUAUAUGUAUAAUUUUACAAAGAUAUAGCCCCUUUUGAGACUCAUUUUGGUAAGAAAAUGCAUUUUGGAAUAGUGAUUUGUUCGAAAAUGUGUGGUUUAAAAAGAAUUUUUUUUUAAAAAUUUACGUGUAAUAUUAUUUUAUGGAAGAAUGUGUGGUUGAAAAUGAGUUUUGAAAAAAAUAAUUUUUUGAAAAAAUGAGAGCCAUACAUAAGUAUAGCAAUUUCAGGCACGUGUAUAUAGCUAAUUUUUCUCAACAAAAAUCAUUAGCUAAUAAUUGUUCAAUUCAACCGUUAACACAUGAAAAAGGACUAGUGAUAUUGAAUUAUGUGAAUAUUAAUUAAAAUUAGUGAAGUUGAAAAUCCUAACUACCUAAUCCUAUAAAUUCUUCCAAAAAGCCUUAAGCAUUGGUUAAAUUAGAUAGAUUUAGUAGAGCUUUAGUUUUAACCUAAUUUCUUGAUUCAUUACUUGGUAACCACAUUAAUUUAAUUUAAAGCCAGGUUUAAGAUAGAAAUUAAUAGUAGGUAAAUAAUCUUUGUGAGAAGGACAUUUGAACUAUAAAAUUAACUUUGUGAGAAACAGUUUCUAGGUUAUAUUUAUUUGGAAGCUCUAAUCCUUAGAUGCUCGUAUAUGGCAAGUUUCAGAGAAUUUUGCACCACCAUACUCAAAAGGAUAUCUAGAACUUGAUCUUCAUGUUUAUUAUCUAUAAACAAAAUUUCUAGGUUCUUGAAGAUCUCUUUGAAGACGGCAUAGAUGAAAUUGCUAAGAAACUCAACUUGUCGUGCCCCUUUGUUCCUAUAGGAUUCUGUGAUCUCGAGUUUGUGGUUGACAAAUCCAAGACCCUACCGAUUGUUUGAUUUUCCACAAGUGUAUGACAUCACGAAUAAGUAAUAAAGUGAUGAAUACAAUAUUGUUUUCACGAAAACUAUUUACUUAAUCUGGUAUCAAUUAAAGUUAACUUUAAUCGAAUAAUAUAUUUUGUUGAAGAAUUUAUGCUAAGUUAAUUAAUUAAACUAAUUAUUCUAUCCAACAAUUUAUAAAUCUUUUGUGAAAUUUGAUGUGAUAUUGCUAAUUAAAACUUUGAAUUCCCCUUAUUAAUCUAUUUCAAUGCAAAUCAAUAAUAUGACAAUAUGUUAUUGAUCAGUGUUCUUAAGUUAAUUAAAAGCAUCUCUCGAUAUCAAUUAAAUCUAUCAUUUUUCGUGAAUUUCUUAUAUCUCUAUGAAAGAUGCGAACAUGAAACAUGCAUUAAAAAAACUAAAACAUCCAUAAAAUCAUGCAAAGCAUAGCAAUAUAUGUCUAUCUCGUAUCGAAUUUUAAAAUAAAUGUGAUAGAGUGCUAUCUAUCCUAUUGUUUCUCUCGAAAUCAAUAAAAUUUACAAUGAAUUCAAUUAGUGAUCAAAUAAUUGAAAAGUCAUUAAAUCCUAUAACAAUCAUCCAAGAAUAAGCUCAUAAUUGAACGUCAAAUUAUCGAAUUUAUAUUAAAACAUAAUAAUAAAGGCUCAUCAAGAUCUUAUAAAUUAAAACACUAGCCUAGAAUUACAAAAUCACAAGAAAAAAUAUUUAACUGCAAGAACAUAACUUGGAUUUUUUAUUGAUAAAAAAGAUGAAGAAAAAUCUCGAAAUCUUGAAUAUUUUCAAUGGUUUCUUUAUAAAUCUCUAAUAUAUAUUCCUUUUUCUUUUCAAAAAUUUAGAUUGAAACUCCAAUUUCUUGAAAACUUGUAAUUGCUUUUUAAUUCUAAUAAGAACAAUGGAUUGACCUCUUUUUGAUGAUGUUAAUAGAUGAAUUUUGGUUUAUGAGAUGUAUAUGAAAGGUCUAUAAGAGUUCACUUAUAUUGGGUGCCCAUGUUAUGCAUUUAUAGGGAUGAAAUUAGGUCAAAAAUCAUGCAAGAAAGUAGUUUCCAUAUAGAAUUUUGAAUAAAAAAGAAAAUUGGCCACAAUCCCAGAUUUUGGCCCUUUUUCUUCUUUGCUUUAUAACUAUCAGUUGCCCAAUUAUACCAUUUUUCAAACUUUAUGUCUUAGUCCUUGAAUUCGAUUCUUGAUUCUUUUAAGUCCAUUUCUCUUGCAAUUUUGGUUCUUCAACUUCUAAUUGUAUCCAAUUGAAUUCAUAAUAUCUUCAAUCUUUGUUUUGUUGUUCGAAUAACUAUUGGAUGUUUGCAUUUUAGUCACCAUACUUGCUUUUCAUCCCUUUUUGCCAAUUUUUGCUUCUUUUUUUCUCAAUUCCUCUUCCAUUCAUCGAGUUUCACCUAAUAGACAAAAUAUAUACAAGAUUAGGCUAUAAUUUAUCAGAAGAACAAUGAAAUAUGAAUAUUUUAAAACCCUACGUGUAUAAAAUAUAUUUAUCAAACACCUCAAACAUGAACAUUUGUUUGUUCUCAAACAAAACUAUAAAAUAACUUAACAAACGAACAUGCAACAAAAUUUUGGUUUGAUAACCUACAAAUUUGUCUCAAGAUUAGAAUCGUUAUUAAAUUUAUAAUAGUUUCAAGGUCAUAACACCAAAAUCAAUAUCCAUUUCUCCAAUGCAAAACUGAUGUGUGUGUGAAGAAUUUAAGUCAAACACAAUGAAUUAACAAGUUGUUUUGAUUACUGACCUUCAAUAGUCAAAUUUAUUCCUCUACUUGUAAAAUUUACAUACUCCCAAACUUAUCAUUGUUACUGUUUUCCUAGUGUUUUGAUCUAAGGUAGAAUCUUUGUACUAACUCCUCACCUUCUCUAAUUUAGAUGGAUCUCACUAAUUGCAAGUUAAUAUUUCAACAAAUAAGGAUUCUCCAAAUUUUUGUUUGCUUUAACCUCCAAGAAAUAACCAAUAUAAUAAUCCAUUGUUAGAGAUCCAAUUCUCUCAAAUAAGUGUUUGUGGCAUAACCAAGAUAUGUUAUGAGUCUUUUGUUUCAUGCACUUGCUCUUUUCAUUUUUUAUUUUUUUUUUGUUUUUGUCCUCCCCCCCCCCCCACCCCACAAUUUCACUUCUCUUAUAUGCAAACUUCUCUUUAUUAAGCUAUCUAAAUAACUAUUGUAAUGAGUUUUUGGUCGAUGACUUCCAAGUCAGGUGACCAUUGGGCACCAGGUUUAAAAAUAUAUAUUUUUGCAGACUUAAUAAUUCGAGUUAUAAAGGAUAUGAAGAGAUGUUUCACAAUGAGAUAGUUUUUUAAUUUCAUUUUAUGUAAUGAUUAGUGCAAUGUCCUUGUUAAAUACUCAUUCUCCAAAAUCGACCAUUAACUUAAGAUUUUCACCUUUUUUUAUUUUUUAUUUUUAUUUUUUUUGCAAGCCUUAGACAAUCCACACAAGAAUUUACACACAUGAAACCCUUUUUAUGUCAAUAUCUUCCUACAACAGUUCAGCCAUCCCAAACUUUACUAAAUUUGGUCUGAGGAUUGUAUAAUGUAAUAAAUUUUUUUUUUUUUUUUUUUUGGGAUUCAUCAUCUAUGUUCUACAACUUCUACCUAUUAAGCAUAUGAAUCAACUCAUUACUUCAUAGUGCUAAACUUAAUUAUGCGCGAAAAUAAUAUUGAAUUUUACAUGGAUAAACAUCCAUUAAUUUAAGCACAUAACUUAUUCACAGUUCAUAAAGCAACAUACAAUUCUUAAUAAAUUCAUUAUUGCCGAUAAGGCUAUCUAACCUACACAAACAUACAAUAAACAAAGAAAAAUAUUUUUGAGUUUUUGAAAAUGAAUUAAUUUUUCUUUUCUCAUACAUACAUAAUAAAGUAGUAAAACACAUAAUCAUAAAAUAAAACUAAAACUCAAUAUUUUUCGUACCCCCAAGUUAAAGUAGACAUUGUCCAAAUGUCCUAUUGUCUACUAUAGCACAUAAAGGGACGAUGAAAAGAAGAAGAAGAAAGUACCCCCCCUCCCCCCGAAUUUUUCUAUCUAAUAUUGGAAGUGGCUUUUUGGUUCAUUCCAUUCCAACCUUUUUUGAUAAUGUGAUGUAUGACAACCUUUUUUGACACCCUGGAGCCUUGGAAAAUGUGCCACAUGCUUUUUUCCUAUUUCUGACUCAAGCAUAUAUAUAUAUAUAUAUAUAUANNNNNNNNNNNNNNNNNNNNNNNNNNNNNNNNNNNNNNNNNNNNNNNNNNNNNNNNNNNNNNNNNNNNNNNNNNNNNNNNNNNNNNNNNNNNNNNNNNNNNNNNNNNNNNNNNNNNNNNNNNNNNNNNNNNNNNNNNNNNNNNNNNNNNNAUAUAUAUAUAUAUAUAUAUAUAUAUAUAUAUAUAUAUAUAUUUAUAUUUACUAGGCUUAAAAUAGAUAAGAUGACCCUUAUAUUUAAAAACAUGUCCAAAACUAAUGCAACAUAAUAACGACAUGUGAUGGAAAUGCCUAAAGCAUAAUAAAUAGAAGGGUAAAAAAUUGGGUUACCUCCUAAUAAGCGUUUAAUUUAAAGUCUUUAGUUAGACUUUGUAGAGGAGUUAACCAUGGUGGUAUAAGGUGGAGUUCAUUUGUAAAGCUUUAAUCAUAAUGUUUAGCAUUGCGAACCCCUUUAUUUAUUUUUCAUGUUUAAAGAGCUCCUACUUCAUCCUUGAUGUUCCAACUGUUCCACAAACUCACUCUUUUUUUUAAUUUAAAUUUAGGGUGGGACUUUAAAUGCUCUUUCACUUCUUCUUCCUUAACCUUUCUGCUAUUCUCUUCAUCGGAAGGUUUCUUGAUGGUGGUAUAGAUUUUGAACUUUUCUUGCUAAUCAUCCAUCCUCUAGGUUAGUUCGCCUACUUCAAAGUCUGUGAUGAUAGGAAGGAUCGUCCCAAGAUAGUUAGUGAUGCAUCCCAUGGUUCUUCUAUGUCUAGGACAGUGAAGUCUACUGGGAAUAUAAACUUGCCCCCUUUAAUGAGCACGUUUUGAGCCACUGCUCAAGGGUAUUUUAUUGAUCUGUCCGCUAGUUGAAGAGUGAUAGUUGUGUCAUUUAGUCUUCCAAACCUAAAUUUUUGUAGGCAAAAAUAGGCAUUCAAAUUUAUACUUAGUCCAGAAUCACAUAAACAACUGAAAAGUAAAAUUACUUCCUAUUGAGCAAGAUAUUAUGAGACUCCUUAGAUCUUUUAAUCUAGGAGUUAAUUUUUUAUUAUUUUUAUUUUUUGCAAGAUUGCAAUGCGCUUCCCAUUUAACUUGAUCGUCUUAAAUUUAGUAAGCUUUCUUUUCUUUGACAAGAUUUCCUUCAAAAAUUUUGCAUAGCUUGGUAUUUGAGAUAUGGCUUCAAUUAACAAGAUGUUGCAUUACGCUUUCUAAAUAUGUCAAUAACUUUGCAAAUUGGUCUUUAAGCUUCCUUCUUUUUCAUUCACACAUUCUCCAAAAAAUACUAUUCCACCCAUUAAAAUUUGAAAUAAUGGGGUCCAAACGGGAGCUAAAUUAUCUCCUUUCAAACUCUUGGAAAUUUCAUUUUCCAAACAUUUUUCCUCCAUUCCCAGGUUUUUAUUUUUGCUGAAGUUGUUUAUGGAUUUGGAAACGUCAAUUGUUCGUGCGAAACCUAUAAGCGUACGGGAUAGUUGAUAAAUAAUAGAUUUAGUGAGUUGAGAGUAUCCUUAGGGAAUAAAUUUUAAUUCAAGUGUACUAUUCUUGUAUUGGAUUCUAAAUAUGUAAAACAGAAAAGUUUUAAUGCGUGUCGUGCAUGAUUAUGUCUCUGCACAAUUAUUAGUAUUUUUGUCAUACUUUUCUCUUCCAAUAUCCAAUUGAGGCGAUUUAAUGUAUAUUAGAAAGCUAACUUAAAGGGAUACAAUUAUUAUAGAAAUAAUAGUAUGCCACAAUGAUUCCCAAUCUCCAACUAAAAAUUUGAAGCAUAACUUGUGCAGUUAAUUAUAUUUCAAUCCUUCAUUCCUUGAAUUUUGAAUUGCUUCCAAUUAAUCCUAUGUGAUUUCAAUUGAUGUUUUGUGGUCUGAAUCAACAAUUAGAUAUUGUACAUUGGUCUCCAAAUUUUGGAUUUCUUCCAUUUUUUGUUCAUUUAUUCUAAUUUCACUUCCAAAUAUCCGGUUGUACCUAACAAAUGAAAUAUAUACAUAGUUAAGUCAUAAAUUAUCAAAAUUACUAAUAGUUAGCCCUAUUUAAUGGUCUAAAUAAGUCUAUAAAAUACACUUAUCAUUAGUCAACAUAUUCUUCCUAUGAUAUUUGAGAAACUACGCAUCUGGCAUGUUUGUCGAAGCGAUAGACAAUAUUGGGAGGUCAACCUCUUUCAAAUAUACAACAUAGAUUCUAGCAAUGCAAUAUAGUUGGAUUCACAUGUCGAUCUGAAUGAAUCAUCCUUUCGACGAGGGUUCAAUCUUUGCUUGCUAGGCAAGAGGAGAGCAAGUUACAAAUUUCAUCUCGGUAGGACAUUCUGCCUUCUUUUUAUUUAAAUUUUCUUAAUUCGUUAUUCAAUUACGACAUAAAUGAAAUGUGAAAUUCUUGAGUAAUCUACUUCCCUUCGAAUGAUGAAUCUCUUUAUUCUUAAUUUUAGAGUUAAAGUGACCGUCUGAUCACUAAGGCCGAAUUUCGUCCCUGAUCAAUGGCUAGGUCUUGCAAUAAUUUUUUUUUCAUAUCAAAAUUCGAUAUUGUGGGAGGCCAUAAUAUAAUUAUAAUUAAUAUAGUAGGGUUAGAGCUUUUCACUGGAAAAGGAUCAAAGACAGUGUAAUAAAGCAUCAAUACUAAUUGAUUCAUCCAUAAUUAAAUAUUAAAUAAAUCAAGAAAAAAAAAUAGAGAUCCACCGAAGAAGAUCCUUCUCUUUCCUUUUUAAGGAAGAAAAGGAGGAUCCAAAUAAAAUCGAUGAAAUUGAAGAAAUUCGAGUGAAUGGAAAGGAAAAAAACAUAGGACGAAAGAUUUUGAUCUUUAUCUCGGAGCCUCGAAGGAAAUAGCUUUCCUUACUUUGAUGAAAACUUUUCAAUUUUCAGAAUUCUCGCUCUUCUAAAGUGGUGUCUCACUAAUGGCUUGAGUCCCCCGGAAGGAGGCCUUCUUCAUCUUCUCCUACCCAUGGUGAAAUAAAAUUAUGGGUGCCCAAAAAUUGGAUAUAAUCAACAUGUUUUUCUUUCUUUAUUUAUUUUUUCAUGAUUAUGAAUUAUUAAAGGUAGAUGCAUGAGACACAAUCUACUAAUUAAUCAAGUUCUUAAUCUAUUUCUUUCAAAUACCCACUAUAAACAUAUCAGUGAUCUCAUUUAAUAAUAUCUCGGGGGCUAAUGAAACUAUUUUAGUAAAAUUUAACUGUCUCAAUUUUCGGGGGAUCACACCAAAAAUUCUAGUUCCUUUUGGAUUGAUCGAAGUUAUAUACUCUAUAAUAUAGGUCUUACCCAUACAAGUAAUGAAGAACUCGCUUUGGAAUAUUAUUUUCGAGAUAAAGAAGCCAAUGCAAUUGCCGGAAAUACUAGGCCUACUAAAGGCACAAAAGUAGAUGGGAAAUUGAAAGUUGUCAUAAAAUGGGUAUCAUGUCUAUUUCACCGAGCCUCUCUCCGAUACAGUGCCUAGAUCGUUACGCCUUUCGUGCGGGUCGGAACUUACCCCAUAAGGAAUUUCGCUACCUUAGGACCUUUUUGCUGAAGUGGUCUUGCCAAGCCUCGCCAUCCCAAAGAUGGACAUAAUUUAUAGUUGCAAGUUGGUUGUAUUUAUAGCCUCAUCCUUGAAGCCCUCUACAAUGUCUUCAUAAAUCAGAGAUUUUUCAGCAUGCAAUGACACUUGUUCACUUUGAUGAUCUAUUAAUUGUUGUUUUCCAAUUUAGUGACUCUAGUUCCUUUUUUUGAUUGCCACCCAAAAUUCUUGAUCUUCUCUAUGACAUGAGAAAGAAUAUAGUUAAGACACUAGAUAGGAGGAAAUUACUUGAUAAUACACUCAACUUAAUAUGAUGUCUCCAAUUCUUGUCACAUGUUGAUCAACCCCUUUGUGUAGCUACUCGUCUAUAUCUUUAAGAGACGACCACAGUAACAUUAGCUCAUCAUGGAUUAUUCUAAUUUCAUAUAUCACACUAGAAAUCCUGUUAUGUAUUGAUUCAUUAGUUUCUCCAGAUCACCACUGAGGGAAUCUACAAUGAAGAGAGACAAAACACUAGUAGAUUUCAGCAUACUACUUUGGAUUUUCGAGACUAUGAAUUAGUCCUGCAUCUUUAUGUUCAAUUUCAAGAUCAUAAUCUUUCGCAACAAAUCAGAAAGAGUCAUAUCCAGUCAUAAGGAUGGGAUCUCCUUUGACAAAGAAAUUGUAACCGUACUGACCACAACUUUAACAUCUAUCAAUUAAUUUUUGGUUUCCUCGAACUCAAUAAGCUAUAAUGGUGUAUCCCUAAAAAAGGUGAUUAAACAUCUUUAUAUUUUCAAUCAGACCACGGACUGAAAAAAAAUAAGUAUUGAUAAAGUUCUAUUUCGUCUAAAAUUUGGUAGACAAAAUCAAUUAAGGGAGCAACAAACUCAAUCCACAUUGGGGGCAGUAUUCUUAUCUGGGAUUGUGAACGAUGCUUGAAGCUCAAUUACAAAAGCACAAAAUAAAUGGGAAAAGUUUCUGUGUUCUUCAGUAGCUCGCACAAAACCUAGCAAAGCCUCGCUGAAUACCCUAGAAGGGCUAUGAAAUCAAUUAUUCUGUUAUUUUCAGAGUGAAAUUUUAAUAUGAAGUGAAUGACUAGAAUAAGUCAUCCCUGGCCAUCAAACUCUUCAAUAAGUUUGUCCAUGUAGGGGUAGUCUUCCGGAAGUACUUUUAGAUUGAAUGUAGAGGCGGCCAUCUUUUGAACCCUUUUCUAUGUAAUUUGGAUCAAUAAUAACUCUGAUGAUUGAGUGGAUGAGAUAGGAAAGCAGAGGAUAGAGGAAGCGAUGGGUUUGGUGGAUGAUGAAUUGCAAGAGAUUGAUUAAUGAACAUACGAAUUAAAUGAGCUCCUUGGUCAUCAUAAUAGUAGUAUUUUCUUUGAUACUAACUUUGCAUACAACAAUAUCACCAAGACUAGUAGCGUCAUGCAUAGAAUGAUAUUGAAUAUCAAUGUGGUUCUUCCUCUAAUGAAUCAUAUCUUUUGUGUUGAAAAUAGCGCUCUAACUAUCACAAAACACUAUAGUAACAUGUAAAUUUUCACUGACUUUACCAAAUAGUCCCUUUAACCAAGUAGCUUCCUUACAAGUCUCUGUAAUAGUCAUGUAGUCAACCUCAGUAGUAAACAAUGUAACUAUAGUCUAUAAAUUAGCUUUUCAACUGAUAGCACAACCACCAAUAGUAGAAAUAUGUCCUAUAAACGAUCUUCACUUAUGGAGGUCUCUAGCAAUCAGAAUCGCCAUACCUAAUGACUCCAUCUCCAUUUCUUCCAAAAUAUAAACAAACAUUAGUAUAGCCACACGAUAGGUAUUUGAAAAUCCACUAAACUUCUUUCCAAUGUUCUUUACCAGGGUUUGUCAUGUAGCCAUUGACUGCAUUGAUUGCAUAUAACGUGAAAAACCAUAGCAUACAUGAUAGAUCUUACAACAUUAGGAUACGAAACUCGUGACAUAUAGUCAACCUAAUCAUUAGAUUGUGAGAAUAAAGUAGAUGCAAGUCUGAAAUGGUUCACUAGAAGGGGACUAAUAGGUUUGGCAUUCUAUAUAUUCAACCUAUAGAGAACUUUCUCAAUGAACCCUUUCUGACUUCGGUACAAGUUGCAUUCCUUUCUAUCUCUUAGAAUCUCCAUUCCAAGUAUUUGCUGCUCAUAGGUCUUUUAUCUCAAAUUCAUUACUCACCUGGGAUUUAACCUAUCUUACCUCUCCCUUACCCUUGGAUACUCUCAACAUAUCAUUAACAUAUAAAAGUAGUUAUACAAGUGACCACCACCACUUUUCUUAAAGUAGACACAACUGUCAUAACUAUUUCUUUUGGGAUUAUGAGUGGUCAUAAAUGGGUCAAAGCUCUUAUACUACUGUUUGGGUGGCCGUAACAGGCCAUAAAAGGGACUUUUUCUGCAAGCAUACAUAAUUAUCCUAAUUUCUUGCAACUAGUCUUAAAGCCUUAUACCUAGUUUCUUAAACUCAUGGUAUUCCUUAUUUCUUUUUAAACACCCAUUUGCAAUGAACAACUUGCUUAUCCUUAGACUAUCACACUAAAUCCCAUGCACCAUUCCUAUUAAGCGAUUCCAUCUCUUCCUGUAUGAUAAUAAUCCAUCUACUAGAGUUAUCAUAACUAAUUGUCACUGAGUAGGUAGAGAGUUCUUUAUUGGAAUCAAUACUUUCAAACUUAUUCAAGACAUAGGCAACCAAAUCAGCCCCACCGUACCUCUUUGGAGGUCUAUAAUCUCUUUUGGGCCUAUCUUUAGCAAUAAAGUAUUGUGGUAGCAAUGGUGGUGGUGAGAAAGCAACAUCACUCUAUACUUGUGAGCUAGUAUGAGAUAUAGACUCGAGCAUAGACACUGACCCAAUUUCAAACUCUAUGUGUUUAAUUUCAGUUGAUUUUUAUUAAAAGAAUCUGGAAGGUAAGUCAUGGAGCAUUACACGUUUAUCGAAGAUAACCUAUCUAUUGACUUCGACUUUAUUGGUGUCUUGACACUAUAUCUUAUAUCCCUUAACACCAUACUUAUAGCCAAGAAAUACGCACAUUGAAGAUGUAGUUUCCAAUUUUCCAUUGUCAACAUAAGCGUAGGCACAACAUCCAAAUAGCUUCAAAUCGAUAUAACUAGCAAGAGUACCAGAUCAUACCUCUUCUAGAGUCAUUGUCACUGGUUGUUGAGGGUAAGUGAUUAACAAGAAAAAAGGUUGUAGAAACGGCUUUGGCCCUAAAUAUCUUAGGUAAAGCAGCGAUGGAAAGAAUACAACGUAUUUUCUCCAUCAACGUCCUAUUCAUCCAUUCUGCCACACUAUUUUGUUGCGGAGUCUAACAAACUAUUAAAUGCCUCAAAGUUCUUUCUAACUUGUAGAAAACAUUAAACUUUUUAGAACAAAACUCCAAGCCAUUAUUAGUGAGGAUAUGUUUUUCCUAUUUCCAUGUGUGCUUCUCAAUGAUGGUCUUCUACUCUUUGAAUGUAAUAAACACAUCACUCUUUUAAUUUAAGAAAAACGCCUAAACUUUUUAGGAAAUUUUAUCAUCAUUGAUAGUUAGCAUAAAGUAAGCAUCUUCUUUGGAGGACUGCCUAGAUGGUCCCUAGAGAUCUAAGUUUCGUAAUCAACUGUUUCAUUCAUAUUGUAAAUGCUUUUGGUGAAUCUAACUCUUUUUUACUUUCCAAAAAUGCAGUUCUCAUAAAACUUCAACGUACUAGUACUUUGUUCAUCAACAAGUCUACUCCUGUUUAGCUUAGCCAACCAUUCUCACUCAUUUGCCCAAGGUGCUUAUGCCAUAGUUAUCACCAUCUGACAAGGAAGAAGUAGUGACAAUUGCAACACUUAUGACCAUAGAACCCUACAAGAUAUAAAACUUGGUAGAUAUUCUUUGCCCUUUCAUCAUAAUGAGGGCAUCUUUGCUAACCUUUAGGACUGCACACUCAUCGAUAUAUUUGUACCCUUUUGAAUCAAGAGUACUUUAAAGAGGUAAGAUUUUUCUUCAAAUCUGGAACAUGUCUCACAUCACCAAGUUUCUUAAUAGACCAAAACAUAUUUUAAUUCUGUCAUUCCAAUAUCAACAUCUUACAAGGUGUUAUUUUCCAUUAUUACGGCAUCUUUAGAAACUGUUUCAAAUGUUGAAAACCACUUUCAAUUGAGAUUUAUAUGAAAUGUGCAAGUUGAAUCAAGAAUCCAUUUUUUGCAAGUCUUUGAGUAGCCAUUAAAAAAUGACAAAGAAUUGCUAGUACGUGGAGAAAAACUACCAUGCAUUUGGACAGAUAUCAUCUUUUUAUAAAUACAUUCCGAAAGGCUUUAGCUAUUUGUUAGGAACUCUCAUGAAAUCUUUACUUGUGUAUGCGGUGCUAUUUUAGACAUGAUUAUUUUUCCUAUCACUACCUUACUCUCACGUCGGAGGUCAAACGUGGGAGGUAACCCUAAAAUUUUUUGUAGAUAACUAGGUUGGACAGAUAGAUGGCUCCAUUUUGUUCUGCUAAAGAAUUUGAAGAGCCAUGUCGAAGCAAGUUUGUUAGCUCUAUCUAGUGGAACAGGACAUAAAAGCUAUUAUAGGACCAUAAACUAUAAGUAAAAUAGAAUUGGAAGGAAGUACAUCAGUUAGAAUAUGUAGGUCGGGAGAUCCAGAUCUACUGCCACUAGUUUAUGUCACUAUGAACCACUUUAAUGCCUUAGAGACUUAAAUGGCAACAAUGAUGGUCAUAUUGCAGAAUCAGGUUCAGAGAGUAACCGAAAUAACUCCUUAUCCACCUGAAAAUCAUCAAAUGUGACCACCUCUUGUAGCACAAGAAGCCACCUGGCACUUUUUGGGACAGCUAUGGUAGUUAUGGUAUCUUUCUACUUGGAGUGCCCCUAGCAAUGGUUACUACAACAAAAUUAUGAUUUUGCGAAAAGAUAUUUUGUGAUAUACAAAAAGUUGUCACAAUAAGUGAUUUAGCGUGACACAUUUUUCAAAUAUUAUUAUGAAAAAAAUUGAGUAUAAAAAAAGAUAAGGUGACAAGAAAAGUUGUGGUGAAAUGUGAGAAGGCGCAACAUAAAGACGAUUGCCAAAAACAUGAGGGAAGUAAGGCACCAAAAAUAUUUUUUGGCAGGAAAGUUUUGACGACAAACUUAUUUCUUGGGUAUAUACCAAAAAUAUAUGUACACACACACAUACAUACAUAUAUACCUAGAGACACACACACACACAUUAUUAUUUGUCCUUCAAGAUUCCUUUAUCAAAUUUAAGAAAUUUUCAAGUCCGAAACAUCAAGUAUAAAAAGAGAUGAAGAUUCCAACAGAGCGAGUUUUAGUGGGAGAUAAAAAGUUUUGUUUAGAAACCUUGUAUUAGUUUUAAAACUUCUCAAUUUUCAAAGUUAUUUCCAGUGUGUAUCAAGUUUGUAUUUCGAUUUUCAUCUCGAACUUUCAACAUUUUCAAUAAAAUUACCAUAUUCAACUCAUCUCUGUGUUUUUUAAUACUUGAAUCUCUACUACCCUUAUCCCCUGGACUUAUAUAACUAUUCAACAAAAUUUUGUAAAAAGUAUAUUUGUUUUUGACUUACAAAAACUUGAUCAUAUAAUUUAUUUCUUCUUCAUUGGGUAUGUCGAUUUAUCUUUUGUAAUUGAGUGAAGCAAACGAUUGAACGAUUUAGCCAUACUUAUUAGCCAAAUGUGUUGCUGAUUUUCAAUAGUUCUUCCCAAUUUUUAGAAAUCUCCAACAAUAUUUUUCCAACUGGAUUGAUGAUAUCACCAACGAUAUUUUGUAGAUUGUCAUGCAUGUUGCAUCUUUGAACCUCCCUGGGUUUUGGAGGCGCCACUGCUCCAAGGCCCUUACUCAUUGACUUAGAGUAGAAAAUAGAAGAGAUGAUGGCAAAUUUUUUUUGUAAAGUCCCGAAAUUUUAUAUUCUUAAUUUGGUUGACGUGACCCAGUUAUGAAAUGAGCACUAAAAGCUCGCCCAUUUAAGGUAAUGAAAAACUAGGACAUAAGCUAUAAAAUCUCAAAGAUUUAAGGCAUUGAGUUUAAAUGAAUUUGAGUGCAAAAAUUUAAUGAAUAAUUGGUUGCCACAAUGGUCAUCUAUAUGGUAUUUUAUAUAGGUAAUCUAGGUUGGUAUCAGCAUGCAAGAGUAUUUAUAUCAUAUUUUUAUAAAAAUAUUUUUUGAGUUAGAAACUCCACAUUUUCACGUUAGGGCACAUCUAUGUUAAAAUUAUUCAUGGAGAUUGUUUACAAGUCUCAUAAACCAUUCUCCAGUUUAAACUUUGCAGAUGUUUUUAUAAAAAUUAUUUUUGAGCUUAAAAUUCUCACUUAAAGGCUCACUUUAAUAAGGUUUAUUGUUAUAUAACUCUUCCAUUUAAUUUUUCACUAAAAAUGAGGUUAUAAGAAGACGAAGAUCGCUUUUUUUACCCCUCCUCUCCUUAAAUUAAUCCAAAUUUCACUUUUCUUCCUCCCAAAUUUGUGUCAGUGCUAGAUUAUUAACAUGAAGUAUUACUAGAAUUUGAUAAUUCAAGGCAAAAGAUUUCUCAUUUCAUAACAAGAAUUUACCUUUUUUAAUGAUAUGACGUGUAUUGGAAUUCUUAGAGUUAUGAAAUCAGAGGUUUAUGUAUAUGGCAUAACCAAUCCCUACAAUAUCAAGGGAUUCUUCGAAUGAAUUUGUAGGUCUUCAUCUACAUAAAAUGUUAAAUUCUUUUCUAUCACUUUGUAUGUAUGUGUAUAUGUUUAUGAUCAAAAUGGUGCAGCAAAUGAUAUAAUACGUACUUAGCUUAAGGCUCAUACUCUUUUUGUUCAUUAUUUUUUAGAUUAAAUGAUGGUCGAGGAAAUGGGAUUCACAUGGAUUGCGGAUGAUCCAAAGGGAGAAAGGUGCUUCAUUUCUGUUGUUAGCACAUUUAAAGAAUUUAUAGUUCUUACUAGUUACAUUUAAUUUCUAAACGAUGUUAGUUUAACUUUACUUCUUGAAAGACUUUCUAGUUCUUUUUCUUAAUGUGAACAUUGUAACUGUAAUUGGUUUAAGUAUGCAGUUAAUUUAAGUUGCUAAAAUAUUUUACCUCGUGCUUGUAAAAUAUAAAAUUUUAGCUUUUUUGCCUAAACAUUAUCUCGCCACCCUAUACAGUAUUUUUAGAGUAUCAGUAAGAUUGGAUAGCCUUAUGAGUCCCCCUAUCCAUAGGCUUUGGAAUCAAGUCAUUUGGAGGUUGGUAGGAAAAAUUAUGGCAUUUCUCGUGUACUACAAGAAGUCUAUCCGAGAGCAAUUGGUAAUACGAGUUUGAACAAUUUAGUAAGUGGUUAAAUGUUGUUGAAACACACUGAAAUUUAUAUUUUAUUUUUAGAUAUGUUGUAAAGAUGUUGUAUGCAUUUCAUGACAUUCAGAAUCCAACUGAUAAUCCAAAUAUGCACGAACAUUAUGUUGCACAGCGUCUUAGGUUAAAGACAAUAAGUUUGUUUAAAAUUAAUUUACUAUUUUUUUCUGAAAAACUUAAAAUCUUAAGAAUGCCUUUUAGGUAUCGAACUGGACUUAAGAUUCGGGGUGUUACAACUUGAUACGAGAGCUCAAGAUUUUAAAAAUUAUCUAUAAAUAUUAUCGAUGCAUAAAUAAAUCAUUUAUUUCUUUAGUAUGUACUUAUGCGUGUAGAUGUAAUUUAAAUGAGAACAUUUAGUAAUUAGUACUAUGUCAAUAUGACAUUAUUUAGCAUGUUAUGUGUUUAAAAACUUUAAAUAAAUUUGUUCAACGCAAAUGUCUUAUGUGCUUAAGAAAAGUAUUAAAAGCUAAAAAAAUGACUUAAUGAUUUGACUUCUCCUUGGUAUUCCGCAUCAAUUAAUCAUCUAGAUCUUCAAUCUAGGUUUGUUUUAUUUAACAUUUUCACGGAAAUUCAAAUUUAUGUUUUCCCGAAUUUUCAUUAGGUUGACUGAUUUAUCUCAUAAUUAGCAAAGAAUUCCACUGCUGUUUCUUGGAAAGCUUUAAAAAAACAUUAGAAAAUAAAGAUAGAAGAGUUCCCCACUAUUUACUGAAGAUUAAAAAGAGAUGACAUCCUAAUUUCUAAAGAAUAGAAAAAGAUCAAAUCUCACUCUGGAAACCCUAAGCUUUCUUUAAAACCAUCACCGGCCUGCAUCUCUCUUUAAAUCCAGUCAAUCAGGUAAAAAUUAAUAUCCAUUAUGCAUCUAUUCAUGAAGACAUAUACAAAAUUUGUUUAUAUUUAAAGAAAUUAUAACUGCAUUCCUUUGUAUAUUAGGAAUCUGUUAUGAAAUAUUUGGUAUUAUUGAAUUGUGGACAGGAUUUUGGACUUAAAUAAAUGUAAUUCAUGAAAUGGAGAAAUGAUGAAAGAAUAAAUGACACAGCUUCGGAGUGGCAUAUGAAAAAAAUUAUAAACUGAAGGAACCUUUUGAAUUUAUCUGAAUGUCUCACUUAACUUGUGUACUGGUUAGCAUGUACAUUUUUCGUGCGUUCCAUGUGCAAACUUAUGCAAUUAAUAAUGUGUCGAUACCAAAUAUUAAUUUUUCAAAUUAAUUCAUUGUGAUCUUUUUUCUAGGAUAUUUAAUAGUACUUACUAGUUUUUAGAAUCACUUAAUUUAAAAGAAAAUGAAACAAGUAUUGUGUUUACGUCAACACUAUCAUUUGCCGGUAUGACUUUCAUAGGAUUCAGUGUCUAUCACUUCGAUAAUAAGUUUUAAUUUAAAUUUACAUAUUGAAUAUGCAUGGAAUUUUUUGUGAAAAUUUAGUAUAUAAAAUGCAAAUUUAUGAAAAACAAUACAUGAAAUGUAAAUGAAUUGUGUAAGUACAGUUUAGAAUAAAAAAUAAUAAGUCUGUGUUGCUUCAGAGCACCUGGAGUUCGUCCCUUAGAUAUAAGUUUACCAUAUAUGUCGUUGUGUAAUUUAAUUGUCCCUAGGUUUCAAUUCCACUAGGUUUAAGGAAUACUGUAAUUUGCAUGUAUCGCGGGCCCCGAUAAUAAGGCAAUGGAUUUUGUUAAACCCAAUUUUUAAAAUUACCUUUUUUAAUCACGAAAUUAAUUUACUAAACAAUAAGUUAAUGAAAGUAUUGAAAUGUAAACAGACAGAACACAUUAUAUAAAAUAUUUUCUUCUUUAGGAAAAUGUAGUUUAAAAUAUUUUCGUAUAUUUUUAAAUAUUACACUAUAAAUAAUUAUUAAAUAAAAUGUAAACACAGAGAACACAUUAUAUAAAAUGUAACAAGAAAUAGUUACACAUAAUCUUGUAAAAACUUUCGUUUUAGUAACAUCCUGAUUGGAGAACUUGUGAGAGGAAAAAAAUUACACAUUGGAAGGCGUACAUUGAAAAUUAAGUUGUUAAACACAACUAAAGGAUUAUUCUUAUUUUCUAGUUUAACUUGACCAUGUGUACUAGUUAGCACAUGCAACGCUUUUGCAUUGCACCUAUAAAGUUCAGUUAAAUUACUAAUAAAAGCGUGAAUUUUAUUUAAUUUCUUUCCAAAAUACAGAAGUUCGUACAAAUAUAGUCGUCGUUACCUUCUUUUUGGAACCACUCAAGAGAAUUUAUUCGUAUCUAGAAUAACUUAAUUUUGAAAAGAAAUGGAACAAAUGCACAAUUAUUCUUGUGGGAGCAUCUUUUGUAAUAUACAAUGCCUAGAAGGAAAGGACCCAAUUACUGCAGCUUUUCAACUUGGAGAAUAGAUCAACAAAUGUAAAAAAUAUUCAUGGAAGAUGCUUGACUUGAAAUAGUCAUUGCAUAAUUUAUCAACGACCUUGGUGUCAAAUGUAAUCUUUGCAUAUUCUCUGUUCCUAAAUUCACCUAGCAAACACGAAAUGAGAAUAGAUUAUUACAUCUUGAAAAUGUAAGAUGUACACAUGUUUAUUAUAGUGAUAUGCACGUUUUUCCAACGAAUCUCGUCCGAGUUCAAGAAAACACGAAAUUCCUCCUUUCUUGAGCUCGCUUAGAUCAACAUGCACUGAGUGAUGACUAAACUUGGUUAGUUUCGAAUAUUGAACUUCUGGCAUCAAAGAAAAAUGCAUAAAUCCGUUGCCAGAGAAUUUGGGUGGUGGUCACCAUUUUGGUGGUGAUACGAACAAGGCAGUUGUGCAAGGGAAUGAAUCUUCCCGGGGAAAUGCCUCGAUUUGCAAAAUGUCCUUAACCCCAAAAUCAAAGUCACUUUCAAAGCUCACAAUGAAUGCAACAGUACUUAGGGUUAGUUUGUUUUCUUCGGAUGACUGGUUAUGAAAAAUAGUGAAUUUUGUCAAUUGAUUCAAUGCACGGCCUAAGCAAGUGCCUGGAAUGCUAUGUAAAAUUUAAUUACAUCGGAUAUGGAUAAAUUUAGUAAAUUACUCUUUGAAUUUUUAAUAAUAUCAUAAUGAUAGUUGACUUAUUUAUCUUAACUAAUCAGAGAAUACAUUGCUAUAUUUUUGAAAGCUCCAUCAACACAUGAUAAGAAGGAGUACCACACCAUUUACUCAGGGAAUUGCGUAUAAAAUAGUUAAUAAGAGAUGAAACCAUAAAUUAUAAACAAGAAAAGAGCUCAAUCCUCAAUGCUGUCACAGUCAGCCUUCAUGUCAUUGUCGCUUAUGUUUAUCUUCAAAUUAGUUAAUCAAGUAAACAUAAUGCUCAUCAUGUAUGUAUUGAAGAAUGCAUAAAUUGAUAAGAUUAGAUCGCGUGGACCUAAAUUUUGUCCAAUACGUGCAUUCCCUUUAAUAUUAUUGCUUUAGAAAGGGAUAUGGCAAAAAUUAUUAUUAUUAUUAUUUUUUACCAGACCUAGAGAAUUUGUAUUGACUUGUUUAACAUCAUGUAGACUAGUUAACAUGUGCAUUUCGCUUGCGCUCCAUAUCUAAAUUUAGCCCCUGUUUGAGCCACAUUAUUUUCAAAAAAAUACAUUUUUCAACAGUGAUUUGACGUCAUUUCAAUCACACAUUCUUUAAUAAAAUAACACACAAAUCUAAAACUUUUUUUUUAUUAUUUUUAACCACACAUUUCCCAUUAAUUUGACAUCAAUAAUGCAAUUUUUUCCCUAUAAUGUGACUCAAACAAGCCCUAAUAAAUGUUUCAAUAUGAUUUAUUUAUGUUAUUUCAAACCUUCAGAAAUUUAAUGUACUUACUAAUUACAUCGUUUAGAUAUUCUAUCCUGUGGUAUUAAUAAUAAUUGCCACUUUCUAUAGUCAUUUAAUUUCCAAUGAAAUGAAACAAAUGGAUAGUGUUGGAAAUCAAUUAUAAUCUAGUGCCACUUCAUUAAAGGAAUGGUAUAGUUAGGAUUAGUAAAAUUUACAGAGAUGGAUUAUAGCCAGGAAGGUUAUCAUGACACUGAUUUGGGUCGAUCAAAAAACAAAUUCCACUACGAUUAGUGGUGGUGCUAGCGGAGGUGGUGUUCCAGAAAUUGGGAUUUGAAGCUGAAGCGGUCUUGACGUUGCUGAUUAAAUUCUAAGUCCAAGAACAAAGAGGCCCUGGUGAGACCACACAUUGCUAUGAUGGGAAUGUUUCAUUCCAAGGUUGGAUUUCUCACGUUUGGAAGAUUCACCCCCUUGGAAAAGUGCUAUGGUCGCACCAACACCAAAAUGUUUGGCCACCCAAAUUAUCCUACAAUAGAUUUAUUAAUCUUUGAUGAUAGAACUUAAAUAUUCGAAACUAACCAAGCUUCGCAAUCACUCAAUGCAUGUUGAUCCAUACUUGUUUGGCAUGAUUAACUGGGGUAAGCUCAGGAAAAGAGGAAUUCAAUGUUUUUUUCUUUCAAGAACUUUAUAUCUUAAUAGCCAAUUUUGAAUCAUUUAUGCAUUUUGGAUUCGGGGCCCCAGAGUCCACAGCCAUCUCGUUGGGGAGAGAAAUAGGAUUUAACAGAAGAGGAAAAGUCUUGGCUUAAAAAAUGUCCUAAACCCCAAAAUUAAAGUCAUUUUCAACACUCACAAUGAAGGCAACAUUGCUUAGGGUUAGUUUGUUUUCCUCCACUGACUGCUUAUAAAAGACAUGAAUUUCGUCAAUUCAUUCCAUACACGGCCUAGCACCGUGCUUGGAAUGCUAUGUAUAAUGUAAUUACAUCGUAUUCUCUACAUUUCGGAAAGGCAUAUGCAAAAAUUACCUUUUUAUACAGGACCUCAAGAUUUUGUCUUGGCUUCUCAUUUAACUUCUUGUAGUAAGCAUGUGCAAUUCGCGUGUGCCGGAUGUAUAAAAUACGUAAAAUUAGUACUAAUUACUAUCUCAAUAUGAUUUGUUUAUUUUAUUUCAAACGUCCAGAACAUUAUUUUAAUUACUAAUUACCUCAUUGAAAAUAUUCUUUUAUACGGUAUUAAUAAUAAUUGCCACUCUAUAUAGUCACUUAAUUUCCAAUGAAAUGAAACUAGUGGAUAGUGCUGGAAGUGGAAUAUAAUCUAGCGUGUAUUAAUUAAAGAGAUGGCAUAGUUAGGGUCACUAAAAUUUACGGAGAUGGAUUAUGCCCAAGAAGGUUAUCAGGACAUUGAUUUGGGUUGAUCGAAAAACCCAUUUCGUUGUGACUGGUGGUGGCGCAAGUGGAUGCGUUGCUCCACAAAUUGGUGUUUGAGCCUAAAGUGGUCGUGGCGUUGCUGAUUAAAUUUUAAGUCCAAGAAUAAAGAGGCCUUGGUGGAACCACUUAUUGUUGUGAUGAGAAUGUUUCAUUCUGAGGUUGGAUUUCUCCCAUUGGAAGUUUCAACCCUUGCAAAAGUGCUAAUGCUCGCACCACCACCAAAAUGGUGGCCACCACCAACUUUUUCGUGCCCCUAAUUUAUGCAUUAAUCCUCACUGACAGAAGUUAGAUAUUCGAAACUAACCAAGCUUCGCUGUCACUCAAUGCAUGUUGAUCCAUACUUGUUUGGCAUGAUUGUCUGUGUUGAGCUCAUGAAAGGAGGAAUUCAGUGUUUUCUUCUUUUAAGAAAUUUACAUCUUGAAAGCCAAUUGAAUCAUAUAUGAAUUUUGGUUUUGGGCCCUAGAGUCCACAAUCUUCUCACUGGGGAGAGAAAUAGGAUUUUACAGAAUAGGAAAAGCCUCGGCUUCAAAAAUAUCCUUAAUCCCAAAAUCAAAGUAAUUUUCAAAGCUCACAAUAAAUGUAACAUUAAUUUAGGGUUAUUUGUUUUCUUAGGAUGAUUGCUUAUAAAAUAUAGUAAAUUUCGUCAAUUAAUUCAAUGCACAUGACUAGAUUGCUAUGUAAAAUUUGAUUACAAUGUAUACUAUAGGUUUUCGAAAAGCGUAUGGCAAAAAUAAGCUUGUUACACCAGACAUUGAGAAUUCGUCAUCACUUCUUGUUUAACUUCUUUUAGACAAGACAGCAUUUGGCAUGUGCUCCAUGUAUAAAAUUAGUAAAAUUAGUACUAAUUAAUUUCUCAAUAUGAUUUAUUUAUUUUAUUUCUAACUUUUGGGAAGUUAAUGUCUCACUAAUUACAUCAAUGAAAUGUUUCUUUCCAUGGUAUUAAUAAUUGCCACCUUCUAUAGUCACUUAAUUUCCAAUGAAACGAAACCAGUGGAUAGUGUUGGAAAUGGAUUGUAAUCUAGUGCCGCCUCAUUAAAGACAUGAUAUGGAUAGGAAUAGUAAAAUUUACUGAGAUGGAUUAUAGCCAAGAAGGUUAACAGGACAUUGAUUUUGGUUGAUCGAAAAACCCAUUCCUCUGUGGUUGGUGGUUAUGCUAGCGGAUGUGUUAUUUGAGAAAUUGAGGUUUGAGGCUGAAGCAGUGGUUGCAUUACUUAUGAGACUUUGAGUCCCAAAGAAAAAGGGGCCAUGAUGGAACCACAUAUUGCUAUAAUGGGAAUGUUUCAUUCCGAGGUUGGAUUUUUCCCAUCGAAAGAUUCAUCCCUUUUUAGAAGUGCCAUGUUCGCACCACCACCAAAAUGGUGUCCACCACCCAAAUUCAGGGUCUACACACUAAUCUUUGAAAACUGAAGUUAGAUAUUCUAAACUAACCAAGUUUCGCCAUCAGUACUCAAUGUAUUUUGAUCCAUACUUGUUUGGCAUGGUUAACUAUGUCAAGCUCAUAAAAGGAGGAAUUCGGUGUUUUUGUCUUUCAAGAACUUUAUAUCCUGAUAGCCAAUUUUGAAUCACAUAUGAAUUUUGGAUUUGGGGCCCUAGAGUCCAUAGCCAUCUCAUUGGUUAAGAAAUAGGAUUUGACAGAAGAGGAAAAGCCUCAACUUCAAACAUGAACUUAAUCCCAAAAUGAAAGUCAUGUUCAAGGCUCAAAAUGAAGGUAACAUUACUUAGGGUUAGUUUGUUUUCCUCUGAUGACAGCUUAUAAAAGACAGUGAAUUUCGUCAAUUCAUUCCGUACACGGCCUAGCACAUGCCUACAAUGCUAUGUAAAAUGUAAUUACAUCGUAUGCUCUAGGUUUCAAAAAGGCAUAUGGAGAAAAUUCCCUUUUUAUACAAGACCUUGAGAUUUUGUCUUGCCUUCUCAUUUAACUUCUUGUAGACUAGUAAGCACGUGCAUUUUGCGUGUGCUCGACAUAUAAAAUUAGUAAAAUAGGUACUAAUUAGUUUCUCAAUGUGACUUGUCUAUUUUAUUUCAAACUUUUACUUACUAAUUACAUCAUUGAAAAUAUUCUUUUAUACGGUGCUAAUAAUGACUACCACUUUCUAUAGUCACUUAAUUUCCAAUGAAAUGAAACCAGUGGAUAGUGUUGGAAAUGGAUUAUAAUCUAGUGCCACUUCAUUAAAGAGAGAUGGUAUAGGUUGGGCAACUAAAAUUUACAGAGAUGGUUUAUGCUGAGGAAGGUUAUCAAGACAUUGAUUUGAGGCUAAAGCGAUCGUGGCA
rnacentral:lncRNA from 1 species